CUUAGAGACAGGUGCUGCACGGCUGUCGUCAGCUCGUGUCGUGAGAUGUUGGGUUAAGUCCCGCAACGAGCGCAACCCACGUAUUUAGUUGCUAACGGUUCGGCCGAGCACUCUAAAUAGACUGCCUUCGUAAGGAGGAGGAAGGUGUGGACGACGUCAAGUCAUCAUGGCCCUUAUGCCCAGGGCGACACACGUGCUACAAUGGCAUAUACAAUGAGACGCAAUACCGCGAGGUGGAGCAAAUCUAUAAAAUAUGUCCCAGUUCGGAUUGUUCUCUGCAACUCGAGAGCAUGAAGCCGGAAUCGCUAGUAAUCGUAGAUCAGCCAUGCUACGGUGAAUACGUUCCCGGGUCUUGUACUCACCGCCCGUCACACCAUGGGAGUUGAUUUCACUCGAAGCCGGAAUACUAAACUAGUUACCGUCCACAGUGGAAUCAGCGACUGGGGUGAAGUCGUAACAAGGUAACCGUAGGAGAACCUGCGGUUGGAUCACCUCCUUU
rnacentral:rRNA from 2 species